UAAGCGAGCGUAAAAAGCCCUUAAUAACGACCCAAAAACUUCAAAAGAGGAAUCAGAAACAGCACUCCCGAAACGGCAACGCGAUGCUUCUCCAGCAAAUCUCCGCCGCCCUUGCCGGCGCCGCCGCUCGCCGAAGCUCCGGCGACACUCCCUUCCCUCCUUCUCCUCUCCCCUUUCGCCUCCACCGCCGCGUCCUCGCCCCCAUCCGCGCCGACUCGCCCCCGAUCUCCCUCUCCGCCGCCCCCUCGCGGCCGGCGAAGCCACCCGCCUGCACCGCCGACGAGCUCCACUACGCCCCCGUAGAUGCCGCUGGGUGGCGCCUCGCGCUGUGGCGGUACAGGCCUCCCCGCAAUGCCCCGGUGAGGAAUCACCCGCUGAUGCUGCUGUCGGGAGUCGGGACGAACGCCAUCGGAUUCGACCUCUCCCCCGGGGCUUCAUUCGCGCGUCACAUGUCUAGCCAAGGAUUUGAUACAUGGAUAGUUGAAGUAAGAGGUGCUGGUCUGAGCAUGCGUGAAUAUGACAAUUCUGCUGCAUCUGGGUCAGGCACUUUUGAGGAUGUCUCUGGUGGCAUUCAACCUCUUGAAAAACAAAGUACAUUCGAGGCUGCUUCCCUUCAAAGUUUUGGUGGCUCUUCCAUUGAUGAUGACCUUGGAAUAAUUGCUUUGGAUGAACCACCUUUACUGACAGAGCUUUCUAAUUUUUUUGAUCAAAUCUCAAAGCAUAUGGAAGAGGCUAUAUUAAAGGAAAAUUUUCAUGAAAUCACAGAAAAAAUUUCACUUCUGUCAGACAUGGUAGAGAGCUCUGCCAUUAUUGGUCCAAUGAGAGAAGAAAGUCUACGUCUUUUGAAGAAUGUUCAAGAGCAGUUGGACUCAUGGGAGCGCUUCGUGGAAACACAGAUGCAUCUGACUUCUGAAUAUAAUUGGGACUUUGACCAUUACCUGGAGGAGGAUAUACCUGCUGCGGUGGAGUAUAUUAGACAACACAGCAAAGCGAAAAAUGGGAAGUUGCUUGCCAUUGGACAUUCAAUGGGAGGAAUUUUAUUAUAUGCAAUGUUGUCAAGAUCUGGUUUUGAAGGAGUUCCAUCAAAUUUAGCAGCUAUUGUUACUUUGGCUUCCUCUGUUGACUAUACAACGUCCAAUUCUUCACUGAAGAUGUUACUGCCUCUUGCUCAUCCUGCACAGGCUCUUAAUGUCCCUGUUGUCCCAUUGGGUACAUUAUUGGCAGCAGCAUAUCCCUGGGCAUCUGGUCCGCUGCAUCUUUUUUCUUGGCUUAAUCAUCAAAUAUCAGCUCAGGACAUGAUGCAUCCGGAGUUGUUGUCCAAGCUUGUUUUCAACAAUUUUUGUACAGUGCCCGCAAAGGUUGUCCUGCAACUUACCACCGCUUUCCGGGAAGGUGGCUUAUGCAACCGAAACGGAACUUUCUCAUACAAGGAUCAUUUGCGAGAGUGUCAGACUCCGGUCCUUGCACUGGCUGGAGAUAAGGACCUCAUCUGCCCUCCAGAAGCAGUUUACGGUAGGAAACGGUCAAACUCAUUCCUAAGCACAAGGUGAAGUAUAGGGUGUUCGGAAAGCCAAAAGGCCCGCAUUAUGCACACUAUGACUUGGUUGGAGGUCGAUUGGCGACCCAUGAAGUCUACCCAUGUAUCAUAGAAUUCCUUUGUCACCAUGACCAGUUGUUGACUUGACUAUGUGAUGCUCAAAAUUGGAAUAUAACACUGAAUGCUUACAGCAUCAUGUUCAUCUCAGAAGGUUUUUAAGCUGAGCUGGACAGUCUUUUACAAGAUCUCUCUCUCAAUGAUGAGAAAAGCAGGUAAAUUUUACGGGUUCAUUUGACGUAAUCUUGUAAACGAGUGUACUGUAUGUCAAUACGUCCUGUGUUGUGAAAGUGCUAGGAUACAUUGUAGAUUACAUGUACUCCCAGAUAACAAAAACCGAGGUCAAAGAAAUUGUAAGUCAAAGAAAUUGACAUGUAAGUGUAUGUAAAACUGGCUACAUUAAUGUUAUACAAUUCUGUUGUAUCAUCCGGGAAGUAAUGGAAGGAACAUUGCUUGUGCCUGCAACUAGAGCAAUCC